rnacentral:rRNA from 1 species
AAAUUGAAGAGUUUGAUCAUGGCUCAGAUUGAACGCUGGCGGCAGGCCUAACACAUGCAAGUCGAACGGUAACAGGAAGCAGCUUGCUGCUUUGCUGACGAGUGGCGGACGGGUGAGUAAUGUCUGGGAAACUGCCUGAUGGAGGGGGAUAACUACUGGAAACGGUGGCUAAUACCGCAUAACGUCGCAAGACCAAAGAGGGGGACCUUCGGGCCUCUUGCCAUCAGAUGUGCCCAGAUGGGAUUAGCUUGUUGGUGAGGUAACGGCUCACCAAGGCGACGAUCCCUAGCUGGUCUGAGAGGAUGACCAGCCACACUGGAACUGAGACACGGUCCAGACUCCUACGGGAGGCAGCAGUGGGGAAUAUUGCACAAUGGGCGCAAGCCUGAUGCAGCCAUGCCGCGUGUAUGAAGAAGGCCUUCGGGUUGUAAAGUACUUUCAGCGGGGAGGAAGGUGUUGUGGUUAAUAACCGCAGCAAUUGACGUUACCCGCAGAAGAAGCACCGGCUAACUCCGUGCCAGCAGCCGCGGUAAUACGGAGGGUGCAAGCGUUAAUCGGAAUUACUGGGCGUAAAGCGCACGCAGGCGGUCUGUCAAGUCGGAUGUGAAAUCCCCGGGCUCAACCUGGGAACUGCAUUCGAAACUGGCAGGCUUGAGUCUUGUAGAGGGGGGUAGAAUUCCAGGUGUAGCGGUGAAAUGCGUAGAGAUCUGGAGGAAUACCGGUGGCGAAGGCGGCCCCCUGGACAAAGACUGACGCUCAGGUGCGAAAGCGUGGGGAGCAAACAGGAUUAGAUACCCUGGUAGUCCACGCCGUAAACGAUGUCUACUUGGAGGUUGUGCCCUUGAGGCGUGGCUUCCGGAGCUAACGCGUUAAGUAGACCGCCUGGGGAGUACGGCCGCAAGGUUAAAACUCAAAUGAAUUGACGGGGGCCCGCACAAGCGGUGGAGCAUGUGGUUUAAUUCGAUGCAACGCGAAGAACCUUACCUGGUCUUGACAUCCACGGAAGUUUUCAGAGAUGGAUUGGUGCCUUCGGGAACCGUGAGACAGGUGCUGCAUGGCUGUCGUCAGCUCGUGUUGUGAAAUGUUGGGUUAAGUCCCGCAACGAGCGCAACCCUUAUCCUUUGUUGCCAGCGGUCCGGCCGGGAACUCAAAGGAGACUGCCAGUGAUAAACUGGAGGAAGGUGGGGAUGACGUCAAGUCAUCAUGGCCCUUACGACCAGGGCUACACACGUGCUACAAUGGCGCAUACAAAGAGAAGCGACCUCGCGAGAGCAAGCGGACCUCAUAAAGUGCGUCGUAGUCCGGAUUGGAGUCUGCAACUCGACUCCAUGAAGUCGGAAUCGCUAGUAAUCGUGGAUCAGAAUGCCACGGUGAAUACGUUCCCGGGCCUUGUACACACCGCCCGUCACACCAUGGGAGUGGGUUGCAAAAGAAGUAGGUAGCUUAACCUUCGGGAGGGCGCUUACCACUUUGUGAUUCAUGACUGGGGUGAAGUCGUAACAAGGUAACCGUAGGGGAACCUGCGGUUGGAUCACCUCCUUACCUUAAAGAAGC